GAUGAACGCUGGCGGCGUGCCUAAUACAUGCAAGUCGAGCGAAUGGAUUAAGAGCUUGCUCUUAUGAAGUUAGCGGCGGACGGGUGAGUAACACGUGGGUAACCUGCCCAUAAGACUGGGAUAACUCCGGGAAACCGGGGCUAAUACCGGAUAACAUUUUGAACCGCAUGGUUCGAAAUUGAAAGGCGGCUUCGGCUGUCACUUAUGGGUGGACCCGCGUCGCAUAAGCUAGUUGGUGAGGUAACGGCUCACCAAGGCAACGAUGCGUAGCCGACCUGAGAGGGGGGUCGGCCACACUGGGACUGAGACACGGCCCAGACUCCUACGGGAGGCAGCAGUAGGGAAUCUUCCGCAAUGGACGAAAGUCUGACGGAGCAACGCCGCGUGAGUGAUGAAGGCUUUCGGGUCGUAAAACUCUGUUGUUAGGGAAGAACAAGUGCUAGUUGAAUAAGCUGGCACCUUGACGGUACCUAACCAGAAAGCCACGGCUAACUACGUGCCAGCCGCCGCAGUAA
rnacentral:rRNA from 1 species